rnacentral:rRNA from 1 species
AGAUCCUGGGCUCAGGAUGAACGCUAGCUACAGGCUUAACACAUGCAAGGUCGAGGGGAAACGACAUCGAAAGCUUGCUUUUGAGUGGGCGUCGACCGGCGCACGGGUGAGUAACGCGUAUCCAACCUGCCCAUCACUUGGGGAUAACCUUGCGAAAGUAAGACUAAUACCCGAUGAUAUCCCUAGAAGACAUCUGAAAGGGAUUAAAGAUUUAUCGGUGAUGGAUGGGGAUGCGUCUGAUUAGCUUGUUGGCGGGUAACGGCCCACCAAGGCGACGAUCAGUAGGGGUUCUGAGAGGAAGGUCCCCCACAUUGGAACUGAGACACGGUCCAAACUCCUACGGGAGGCAGCAGUGAGGAAUAUUGGUCAAUGGGCGAGAGCCUGAACCAGCCAAGUAGCGUGCAGGAUGACGGCCCUAUGGGUUGUAAACUGCUUUUAUAAGGGAAUAAAGUGAGUCUCGUGAGACUUUUUGCAUGUACCUUAUGAAUAAGGACCGGCUAAUUCCGUG